GUUUCACAGAUGCGUGCCACAGGUAGUGGGCACUAGGUCAAGAAGUGAGAUUUGUCAGGCUGAAGAGGACAGAAAGAACAUUCUUCUACCUUAUUUAUUUUUAAUUGAAGAUGCUAUACGAGCAUUUGCCAAAUUAUUCAAGGGAGAGCCAUAAUUAGGCAAUGCCAGGGGGAGAGAAAACCAAGGUGACAGGAUCUGGGCCAUAGAAGUGGAGUGGAUAUUGUUUGGGGACCCUCUUGAAGACACAGGACAAAGUGAGAGCGGUUUGUCCUGCCGUAUCAGAUACGGGGAAGUAAAUGGAGCAGGAACCUUUGAUUAGCACCUUCCAAAGCAGCACACGGCAGGCUGUCCGUAACCUG